rnacentral:rRNA from 1 species
GAUGAACGCUAGCGGGAGGCUUAACACAUGCAAGUCGAGGGGCAGCAUAGGGUAGCAAUACUCUGAUGGCGACCGGCAAACGGGUGAGUAACGCGUAUGCAACCUACCCUGUACAGGGGGAUAACCCGGAGAAAUUCGGACUAAUAUCCCGUAAUAAUAUCCGGAGGCAUCUUUGGAUAUUUAAAGUUCCGACGGUACGGGAUGGGCAUGCGUAACAUUAGCUGAUUGGUAAGGUAACGGCUUACCAAGGCUAUGAUGUUUAGGGGUCCUGAGAGGGUGGUCCCCCACACUGGUACUGAGACACGGACCAGACUCCUACGGGAGGCAGCAGUGAGGAAUAUUGGUCAAUGGGCGCAAGCCUGAACCAGCCAUCCCGCGUGCAGGAAGACGGCCCUAUGGGUUGUAAACUGCUUUUCCAGGGAGAGAAACUUACGCACGUGUUGCGUGACUGACGGUACCCUGGGAAUAAGCAUCGGCUAACUCCGUG